AUUGAACGCUGGCGGCAGGCCUAACACAUGCAAGUCGAACGGCAGCACAGAAGAGCUUGCUCUUUGGGUGGCGAGUGGCGGACGGGUGAGUAAUGCCUGGGAAGCCGCCCGAUGGAGGGGGAUAACUACAGGAAACGGUAGCUAAUACCGCAUAACGUCGCCAGACCAAAGAGAGGGACCUUCGGGCCUCACACCCUCGGAUGUGACCAGAGGGGAUUAGCUAGUCGGUGGGGUAAUGGCUCACCUAGGCGAGGAUCUCUAGUUGGUCUAAGAGGGUGACCCGCCACACUGGAACUGAAACACGGGCCGGACUCCUACGGGAGGCAGCAGUGGAGAAUAUUGCACAAUGGGCGCAAGCCUGAUGCAGCCAUGCCGCGUGUAUGAAGAAGGCCUUCGGGUUGUAAAGUACUUUCAGCGGGGAGGAAGGCGGUGAGGUUAAUAACCUUGCCGAUUGACGUUACCCGCAGAAGAAGCACCGGCUAACUCCGUGCCAGCAGCCGCAGUAA
rnacentral:rRNA from 1 species